GACGAACGCUGGCGGCGUGCUUAACACAUGCAAGUCGAGCGAGGCCCCUCCUUCGGGAGGGUGUCCUAGCGGCGAACGGGUGAGUAACACGUGGGCAACCUGCCCUCAGCUCUGGGAUAACUCCGGGAAACCGGGGCUAAUACCGGAUACGACAUCCACGGGCAUCUGCGGAGGUGGAAAGUUUUUCGGCUGAGGAUGGGCCCGCGGCCUAUCAGCUAGUUGGUGGGGUAGUGGCCCACCAAGGCGACGACGGGUAGCCGGCCUGAGAGGGCGACCGGCCACACUGGGACUGAGACACGGCCCAGACUCCUACGGGAGGCAGCAGUGGGGAAUAUUGCGCAAUGGGCGAAAGCCUGACGCAGCGACGCCGCGUGAGGGACGAAGGCCUUCGGGUUGUAAACCUCUUUCAGCAGGGACGAAGCGAAAGUGACGGUACCUGCAGAAGAAGCACCGGCCAACUACGUG
rnacentral:rRNA from 1 species